rnacentral:tRNA from 5 species
GGUCCCAUAGCUCAGCUGGAUAGAGUGCACGCCUCCGAAGCGUGAGGUCGCAGGUUCGAAUCCUGCUGGGACCGCCA